rnacentral:rRNA from 1 species
GACGAACGCUGGCGGCGCGCUUAACACAUGCAAGUCGAGCGAGGCCCUCCUUCGGGAGGUGUCCUAGCGGCGAACGGGUGAGUAACACGUGGGCAACCUGCCCUCAGCUCUGGGAUAACCCCAAGAAAUUGGGGCUAAUACCGGAUACGACCGCUGACCGCAUGGUCUGGUGGUGGAAAGAUUUAUCGGCUGAGGAUGGGCCCGCGGCCUAUCAGCUUGUUGGUGGGGUAGUGGCCUACCAAGGCGACGACGGGUAGCCGGCCUGAGAGGGUGACCGGCCACACUGGGACUGAGACACGGCCCAGACUCCUACGGGAGGCAGCAGUGGGGAAUAUUGCGCAAUGGGCGGAAGCCUGACGCAGCGACGCCGCGUGGGGGAUGACGGCCUUCGGGUUGUAAACCUCUUUCAGCAGGGACGAAGCGAAAGUGACGGUACCUGCAGAAGAAGCACCGGCCAACUACGUGCCAGCAGCCGCCGUAAUAC